rnacentral:lncRNA from 1 species
GUUUCUUUUCUCUUUGGUUUUCUUUCUACAAUUUUCUUUUGCUAAACUUUCUUCCUCGCUUUUUCAUGGGUUUUCUAAUUCUUAUUUUGUUCACCUAAAACUUUAUUUCUAUUUCAUUGCGAUCCUGCCCAUAGUUCUAUUUUCUUUCGCUCUUUGUUGUGAAAUCGUGACGAGUUCAGUAAGUGUGUAAGUGUUGGAGUUGGGUUAAGUUAAGGAUAUUUUUUUGCUGAAAAUUCUUUGAGUUAACCUUGGUAUUGUUAUUAUUGUGUUAUUAGGAGAUAAUUGUUUGGUGUUUAAUGGUUUCCCUCCGAGUUAAGAAAAACUUUGGUCGCUAUUAGCUUCAUAGUAAUUGGUUUGAAAAAUUAGAUUUAGGGAUUUCGUGUUAAGUCUUAACUAUCGAAUGACAUAGUUUCGGUCUUUUUGAUUAAUAGUUAAUCGUUGCGAUUGAAUGAUUGUUUGCAGGUUCGUGAGUUCCUAGUUAUGGUCAAUCAAAUUAGCAAUCAGGUGUGUGUUUCUAACCUAAAACCACUACGUAUAAUUUGAAAAAUUUAGAAAAACAACCAGCAAAUCGAAACUAUUUUGCAUCACACGACUGUGUGGCUGGCCGUAUGGCAGACUGUGUACACCACACGGUCGUGUGGCUGGCCGUGCGUUAGAUCGUGUGGGGGCAAAUGAGCUGUGUGAUUACACGGGCAAAUCAGGUAGGUCAUGUGGGCCACACGGGUGGGAUAGGUAAGUCGUGUUAGCCACACGAGCUGGUCAUCUGGGCUAUGUGAAACCACGCGGGCGUGUGGCCCAUUUUCCUGAAAUUUUCAUUUAUGGUUUAAUUUAAAAUGAAAUUUGUAAUUAGACCCACUGUGAGGUCCAGUUUGCUUAAAAAAAAGAUCCGAAGUGAGGUAUAUGUGGUUAUACGUUCAGUAAGUGAGUUACAUCUAUAUUCUAUGUGUCGAUAAUUUUUGAAAGCAUGACUUUUUGUAAAGCAUGUGUGGCAUCCAUGUUCUGUUAUUUGUUUUGAUAUGAUAUCUGAUUCGAUUAUAUGAUAUGUACAUAUGUUAUUUUGAUUUUUGCAUAAGCAUUGGGGCAGUUUUGAUGAUGGAGGAAGUGUUUCAGGCAGUAUUACUGCAAUCUAAGUGGUUAAACCGCAUUAUAUGUUUGGCAGCUCAGCUCAUAUUUAAUAGUGACAUACCACCACUUUCCGGUGUGAUUAGAUGGAUGGACUCAUGUAGUUAUAAUUGGUGUGGUUGAUUGGUUAGAGAUGGUAUGUAGCGGAUGGGGGUAGAAUAUGUUAUGAUAUGUUCUGAUAUGAAAUAUGAUAUAAGAUAUGAUAACCUUCGAUAUGUUAUAUGAUAAGAAAUUUCUAUCUUAUACAAACUCUAUACGUUUUUAUGUUACGUGGGUUAAAUCACACACUGCGCAUAAAGUUCAUGCAUUUGUAUGUUUCAUUUCCAAUGAUCCUCAGGCUUAUGAUUGGACGGUGACUUUAGAGCUUGGAUUUUCACAUUUUUGGAUUGCACAUUGAGUUUAUGUAUGUUUUAGACUUUCUUUGGACUUUUCAGACUUUUGGAUACUUUAAUUUUUGUUUGGGGACUUUUAAAUUUAUUUUGGUAAUUGUUUUUCAAAAACCUUAAUUUUAACCGGUAUUUAAGAUAAGAUGACUUGACUAACGGUUAAAGUUUUAUGAGAUUAAGUCACUACAACAUUGUUUUUCCGCUACAAAGUUUUUGACUAAGACGUUACAAUAUUUUACUCACAAAUGGACUAAAUAAGUCGAAUAUGUUUAGUAAAGCUAAUUAAAUGCGGUUUUCAUCAAAGUACUCAUGGGUUUUGAAAUUGAUAUAUUUGUUUUUCAACAAGUUAUUCAAUUUGGUUUUCCUUAAGUUGAAAGUACAUUUUUACCAAAAUUAAGCACUAGUGAUUUCACAUAUGAUGUAACCUCCACAAUCUGACUGUAAUGUCUAGGUUGGGUUUAGGGCGUUACAAAUACUUUUGUAUUAUUGACUUGAAUCAUGAAAGUGCCACUAAGCAUUAUCACUCAACGUACGACUUGUUUAUUCUAUACGCAAGUUCUCGUAGAUUUUGAAGUUCCAAAAACUGAAGUAGUAUACAAAUCAUAGCUCUCAACUCAACAAUGUUUUGUAUCGUGUAUUGUCAUUUGGAUGAUUUGAAUAGUAAAUGUUGAAUUGAGUACAAGUGAAUGGUAUUGCAUAUGAUGUAUUUGUAGUUGUUAAGGUCUAGAUGAACUUUGAUAUGCAAUUGAACAAUUUUGUUAAGUUAUUGUGAACUUGUAACUAAUGGAUAUUGUGUAAACAAUAGGUGACGUCGCGACGAAAAAUCUUCAAAGUUGCGACAUAAAUUAACAGAGAGUGGCGUCGCGACCAUGGGCCUCUAAUGUCAUGAUGGCACUCACUAUCUAUCAAAGUCGCAAUGUGGUUCCUUCGACGCCACAACGCCAUCCCGAUAAUUUUGGAAACUUUACAUCUUAGUUCCUUGACAGCCCCGGUUCAUCAUAAGAGCUUUCAU